UCCCGGGUGGCUUAGCUGGUAAAGAAUCUGCCUGCAAUGCAGGAGACCUGGGUUCAAUCCCUGGGUUGGGAA
rnacentral:tRNA from 1 species